rnacentral:rRNA from 1 species
CCUACGGGAGGCAGCAGUGAGGAAUAUUGGUCAAUGGGCGAGAGCCUGAACCAGCCAAGUCGCGUGAGGGAGUACUGCCCUAUGGGUUGUAAACCUCUUUUGCCGGGGAGCAAAAGCCGGACGUGUCUGGCCGUGAGAGUACCCGAAGCAAAAGCAUCGGCUAACUCCGUGCCAGCAGCCGCGGUAAUACGGAGGAUGCGAGCGUUAUCCGGAUUUAGUGGGUUUAAAGGGAGCGUAGAUGGGUUGUUAAGUCAGUUGUGAAAGUUUGCGGCUCAACCGUAAAAUUGCAAUUGAUACUGGCAGUCUUGAGUACAGUUGAGGUAGGCGGAAUUCGUGGUGUAGCGGUGAAAUGCUUAGAUAUCACGAAGAACCCCGAUUGCGAAGGCAGCUUACUAAACUGUGACUGACAUUGAUGCUCGAAAGUGUGGGUAUCAAACAGGAUUAGAUACCCGAGUAGUC